AGUGAACGCUGGCGGCGUGCCUAAUACAUGCAAGUCGAACGGAGUGGCGCACGGGUGAGUAAUGUAUAGCUAAUCUGCCCUGCACUAGAGGACAACAGUUGGGAACGACUGCUAAUACUCUAUAGUGUAGGAUGAGGCUAUAUUGGAUCAGCUAGUUGGUGAGGUAAUGGCUCACCAAGGCUAUGACGGAUAACUGGUCUGAGAGGAUGAUCAGUCAAACUGGAAGUGAGACACGGUCAAGACUACUACGGGAGGCAGCAGGAGGGAAUAUUGCUCAAUGGGCGAAACGCUGAAGCAGCAACGCCGCGUGGAGGAUGAUACUUUUCGGAGCGUAAACUCCUUUUGAUAGGGAAGCGGUACCUAACGAAUAAGCACCGGCUAACUCCGUGCCAGCAGCCGCGGUAAUUC
rnacentral:rRNA from 1 species